rnacentral:rRNA from 1 species
GGCUAACUACGUGCCAGCAGCCGCGGUAAUACGUAGGUGGCAAGCGUUGUCCGGAUUUAUUGGGCGUAAAGCGAGCGCAGGCGGAAAAAUAAGUCUGAUGUGAAAGCCCUCGGCUUAACCGAGGAACUGCAUCGGAAACUGUUUUUCUUGAGUGCAGAAGAGGAGAGUGGAACUCCAUGUGUAGCGGUGGAAUGCGUAGAUAUAUGGAAGAACACCAGUGGCGAAGGCGGCUCUCUGGUCUGCAACUGACGCUGAGGCUCGAAAGCAUGGGUAGCGAACAGGAUUAGAUACCCUGGUAGUCCAUGCCGUAAACGAUGAGUGCUAAGUGUUGGGAGGUUUCCGCCUCUCAGUGCUGCAGCUAACGCAUUAAGCACUCCGCCUGGGGAGUACGACCGCAAGGUUGAAACUCAAAGGAAUUGACGGGGGCCCGCACAAGCGGUGGAGCAUGUGGUUUAAUUCGACGCAACGCGCAGAACCUUACCAGCCCUUGACAUCCCGGUCGCGGACUCCAGAGACGGAGUUCUUCAGUUCGGCUGGACCGGAGACAGGUGCUGCAUGGCUGUCGUCAGCUCGUGUCGUGAGAUGUUGGGUUAAGUCCCGCAACGAGCGCAACCCCUAUUGUUAGUUGCCAUCAUUCAGUUGGGCACUCUAGCGAGACUGCCGGUAAUAAACCGGAGGAAGGUGGGGAUGACGUCAAAUCAUCAUGCCCCUUAUGACCUGGGCUACACACGUGCUACAAUGGCUGGUACAACGAGUCGCAAGCCGGUGACGGCAAGCUAAUCUCUUAAAGCCAGCCAUUGUAGCUCGUGUCGUGAGAUGUUGGGUUAAGUCCCGCAACGAGCGCAACCC